rnacentral:rRNA from 1 species
CACGUAGGGUGCGAGCGUUGUCCGGAAUUAUUGGGCGUAAAGAGCUCGUAGGCGGUUUGUCGCGUCUGCUGUGAAAACUCGGGGCUUAACCCCGGGCCUGCAGUGGGUACGGGCAGACUAGAGUGCGGUAGGGGAGACUGGAAUUCCUGGUGUAGCGGUGAAAUGCGCAGAUAUCAGGAGGAACACCGGUGGCGAAGGCGGGUCUCUGGGCCGUAACUGACGCUGAGGAGCGAAAGCAUGGGGAGCGAACAGG